rnacentral:rRNA from 1 species
ACGAACGCUGGCGGCGUGCUUAACACAUGCAAGUCGAACGGAAAGGCCCUUUCGGGGGUGCUCGAGUGGCGAACGGGUGAGUAACACGUGGGUGAUCUGCCCUGCACUUUGGGAUAAGCCUGGGAAACUGGGUCUAAUACCGGAUAGGACUACGAAUCGCAUGGUUUGUGGUGGAAAGCUUUUGCGGUGUGGGAUGGGCCCGCGGCCUAUCAGCUUGUUGGUGGGGUGAUGGCCUACCAAGGCGACGACGGGUAGCCGGCCUGAGAGGGUGUCCGGCCACACUGGGACUGAGAUACGGCCCAGACUCCUACGGGAGGCAGCAGUGGGGAAUAUUGCACAAUGGGCGCAAGCCUGAUGCAGCGACGCCGCGUGGGGGAUGACGGCCUUCGGGUUGUAAACCUCUUUCGGUAGGGACGAAGCGUAAGUGACGGUACCUAUAGAAGAAGCACCGGCCAACUACGUGCCAGCAGCCGCGGUAAUACGUAGGGUGCGAGCGUUGUCCGGAAUUACUGGGCGUAAAGAGCUCGUAGGUGGUUUGUCGCGUUGUUCGUGAAAACUCACAGCUUAACUGUGGGCGUGCGGGCGAUACGGGCAGACUGGAGUACUGCAGGGGAGACUGGAAUUCCUGGUGUAGCGGUGGAAUGCGCAGAUAUCAGGAGGAACACCGGUGGCGAAGGCGGGUCUCUGGGCAGUAACUGACGCUGAGGAGCGAAAGCGUGGGGAGCGAACAGGAUUAGAUACCCUGGUAGUCCACGCCGUAAACGGUGGGUACUAGGUGUGGGUUUCCUUCCUUGGGAUCCGUGCCGUAGCUAACGCAUUAAGUACCCCGCCCGGGGAGUACGGCCGCAAGGCUAAAACUCAAAGGAAUUGACGGGGGCCCGCACAAGCGGCGGAGCAUGUGGAUUAAUUCGAUGCAACGCGAAGAACCUUACCUGGGUUUGACAUGCACAGGACGUGCCUAGAGAUAGGUAUUCCCUUGUGGUCUGUGUGCAGGUGGUGCAUGGCUGUCGUCAGCUCGUGUCGUGAGAUGUUGGGUUAAGUCCCGCAACGAGCGCAACCCUUGUCUCAUGUUGCCAGCACGUGAUGGUGGGGACUCGUGAGAGACUGCCGGGGUCAACUCGGAGGAAGGUGGGGAUGACGUCAAGUCAUCAUGCCCCUUAUGUCCAGGGCUUCACACAUGCUACAAUGGCCGGUACAAAGGGCUGCGAUGCCGUGAGGUGGAGCAAAUCCUUUCAAAGCCGGUCUCAGUUCGGAUCGGGGUCUGCAACUCGACCCCGUGAAGUCGGAGUCGCUAGUAAUCGCAGAUCAGCAACGCUGCGGUGAAUACGUUCCCGGGCCUUGCACACACCGCC